rnacentral:rRNA from 1 species
GACGAACGCUGGCGGCGCGCUUAACACAUGCAAGUCGAGCGAAGCGGCGGACUGGUGAGUAACACGUUAGUAACCUGCCUUAGACAUUGGGAUAGCCUCGGUAAACCGGGAUUAAUACCAAAUGGGCUAAGAUGGUCUCGCGUCCCAUUAGCUAGUUGGUGAGGUAACGGGCCACCAAGGCGACGAUGGGCAGCCGGCAUGUGAGGGUGCACCGAGACAUUGGCGCUGAGCAGCGGUCCGGACUCUCCGCGAGGGAGCAGUGGCGAAUAUUGCACAAUGGAGGGAGCUCUGAUGCUGCUAGGCUCCGUGAACUAAGAAGGCUUUCGAGUCGUAAAGUUCUUUUAUAUGGGCAGCGGUACCAAAAGAAAAAGCCCCGGCUAACUACGUGCCAGCAGCCGCGGUAAUUC